rnacentral:rRNA from 1 species
GACGAACGCUGGCGGCGUGCCUAACACAUGCAAGUCGAACGGAAAGGCCCUGCUUUUGCUGGGUGCUCGAGUGGCGAACGGGUGAGUAACACGUGAGUAACCUGCCCCUGACUUUGGGAUAACUUCACGAAACUGGGGCGAAUACCCCAUAGGAGAUCCUGCUGCAUGGUGGUGGUUGGAAAGAUUCGGCGGUUGGGGCUGGAAUCGCGGCUUAUCAGCUUGUUGGUGGGGUAGUUGAUUACCAAGGCUUCGACGGGUAGGCGGCCUGGGAGCGUGACCGGGGACCAUACGACUGAGAUACGGCGCAGAAUGGAAUGGGACGCAAUGGUGGAGAGUAUUACACAGUAAGCGGGAGUGUGAUGUGAAGACGCUGGGUGCGGGAAGACGGGUUUCGGGUUGUGAACCACUUUGGAAUGAGCCAAGGAGGGAGUGACGGUAAUGGGUAAAGAAGCACCGGCUAACUACGUG